rnacentral:piRNA from 1 species
UUGGAGCUGGUGUACUUGGUGACGG